UACAGAGGUCCCGAGCGUUGUUCGGAUUCACUGGGCGUAAAGGGUGCGCAGGUGGGUUUGCAAGUUCGAUGUGAAAGCCCCGGGCUUAACCCGGGAAUGGCAUUGGAUACUGCAGAUCUGGAGGAUCGGAGGGGGGACUGGAAUUCUUGGUGUAGCAGUGAAAUGCGUAGAUAUCAGGAGGAACACCGGUGGUGUAGACGGCUUUCUGGACCGUAACUGACGCUGAGACACGAAAGCGUGGGUAGCAAACAGG
rnacentral:rRNA from 1 species